rnacentral:tRNA from 1 species
GCUGGGAAUACAGCUUAGUGGCAGAGCAUUUGCCUAGUGUGCACAAGGCCCUGGGUUCAAUUCCCAGCACUGCA